UCCUAAUCCAGUGGUGCUCCUUAAAGGUGAGCUUCGCUACCCAUUUGAUUGUUUUAAUGUCCUACUGUUUUUGUGCUUUCAUGACUACUAACACUGCUAAAAAUAUUACUUUAAACAUUACCCGCAUUACUGUAUUUGUAAGUUACAUGAUGGCAGAGAUUUUUAUAUUUGCAUCAUUUCUCAUGGGCAGAUGUAUUUGAAAGGUUGCAACAGAGUGUGCUGUAGAGAGUUUGCUCCCUCUUAUUAGUCUCACCACUGUGGAUGCGGAGGUGCUCUUUGAGGUGGUGUUUGUACUUGAAGGCCUUUCCACACUGCAGACAUUUGAACUUCCGUGUCUCAACGCCCUGAUCCAAAGUGAUGGCGCUCUACAAGGUUGACAGACAGGCGUUAGGAAACGGGAUCUUCUUUAUUUCCAGCCUUGUCAUAUUGCUCGUCGGAUACUCACCUUAUCAUGUGCUUGGUGGUGAAGUGCCAGGUGUUGCUCCAAUUGCGCCCUAUGGGUGGCAGUGUAUCCACAGAAUGGACACGCCAUGUGGCCCCGGCCCCUCUCCUGACAGUAUUUGAUGUGGUCCCUCAGCAAGGCGCCGUGCUGGUACGUCCUUUGGCAGAAGGGACAGGCUUGCAGUCUCCUCCUUGAAUCUGGGGUGAGUGGUGCUGAACUGCUGGGGACCACAUGGCAGGCGGCAGCUCCUCGUGGGUCCCGCCGCCGCCCUGCAGACGGUGCACGGCGGCCGUGCCGUUGCGGCCGAAGUGGUCCAAAAGGCUGACGGAGGUCGAGGCCUUCCUCAGCUUGGCCAGGAACUCGUAAUGGGCAAGGUCUUCCAAGUCAAUGUGGGAAUCUGAGCUCCUACCUAAAUGGUGCAUCCUCAGUGAUCCCUGCUCCCCCUCCCUGUCGGGGGCAGAGGCGAUGCCGCCGCCGUCGUCUGUGGCCUCGGAUUCUGGCUCCACCUGGGCCCAGAAUUUCCUGCCGCCGCCGCUCCCGGGACUGAGGCUGUGGGGCUGUGCAGAGAGGGCGGGGCUGCCGGGCUCCUCCGUGCCCUCGCUGGGAGUCCGACUCAUCUUGUCCAGGCUCUCCUGGUAGUCCUGGGGCUCCAGGCUCCAGAGGCCCACCUCAUCCUCUCCCUCGGACCCCAGUGAAGCCACUUGCUCUGCGUCCACUGUGAGAAGGAAUCAGGAAGACAUGAGGGGGAGUCAUUAUAGAUGGCCGACCUAUACACAAAAAUAGUUAAUAGUCACUGGUAAAAAGUCAAUGAGACAAUUCUUAUUUGGAUCAUAAGAAAUAUCCUUUUUUUAAAAUUAUUAACAAUUUAUCCAUUAUUCAAUGAGAGAAAAAAAUAAAAUACCUAUUUUUAUAGAAAUUCAUUUUUGUUUUAGGAAAUAUUUAAAAAAACCAGCAGCAACGAAAAUGAUGUGUAGGUUGGCAUUUAGCACCUUGAGCAAUCGAUUUCAACAUCAAUGUGAUAGAGAACCGAAACCAAACAGGGGAAACACACGCACACACACACACACACACAAAUUCUG